rnacentral:rRNA from 1 species
GAUGAACGCUAGCGGCAGGCUUAAUACAUGCAAGUCGAGGGGUAACAGGGAAGCUUGCUUCCGCUGACGACCGGCGAACGGGUGAGUAACACGUACGUAACCUACCUUCUACAGGAGAAUAGCCCCGGGAAACUGGGAUUAAUACUCCAUAUGAUGAUAGCAUCGCAUGAUGCAGUCAUGAAAACUCCGGUGGUAGAAGAUGGACGUGCGGCCCAUUAGAUAGUUGGUGAGGUAACGGCUCACCAAGUCAACGAUGGGUAGCGGGCGUGAGAGCGCGAUCCGCCACACGGGCACUGAGACACGGGCCCGACUCCUACGGGAGGCAGCAGUAGGGAAUAUUGGACAAUGGAGGAAACUCUGAUCCAGCCAUGCCGCGUGAAGGAUGACUGCCCUACGGGUUGUAAACUUCUUUUAUCAGGGAAGAAACCUGGAGAUUCAUCUCCAGCUGACGGUACCUGAUGAAUAAGCACCGGCUAACUCCG